GAUCAUGGCUCAGGACGAACGCUGGCGGCGUGCCUAAUACAUGCAAGUAGAACGCUGAAGAGAGGAGCUUGCUCUUCUUGGAUGAGUUGCGAACGGGUGAGUAACGCGUAGGUAACCUGCCUUGUAGCGGGGGGAUAACUAUUGGAAACGAUAGCUAAUACCGCAUAACAAUGGGUGACACAUGUCAUUUAUUUGAAAGGGGCAAUUGCUCCACUACAAGAUGGACCUGCGUUGUA
rnacentral:rRNA from 1 species